rnacentral:rRNA from 1 species
GGGUUGUGAGGUUAAGCGACUAAGCGUACACGGUGGAUGCCCUGGCAGUCAGAGGCGAUGAAGGACGUGCUAAUCUGCGAUAAGCGUCGGUAAGGUGAUAUGAACCGUUAUAACCGGCGAUUUCCGAAUGGGGAAACCCAGUGUGAUUCGUCACACUAUCAUUAACUGAAUCCAUAGGUUAAUGAGGCGAACCGGGGGAACUGAAACAUCUAAGUACCCCGAGGAAAAGAAAUCAACCGAGAUUCCCCCAGUAGCGGCGAGCGAACGGGGAGGAGCCCAGAGCCUGAAUCAGUGUGUGUGUUAGUGGAAGCGUCUGGAAAGGCGCGCGAUACAGGGUGACAGCCCCGUACACAAAAAUGCACAUGCUGUGAGCUCGAUGAGUAGGGCGGGACACGUGGUAUCCUGUCUGAAUAUGGGGGGACCAUCCUCCAAGGCUAAAUACUCCUGACUGACCGAUAGUGAACCAGUACCGUGAGGGAAAGGCGAAAAGAACCCCGGCGAGGGGAGUGAAAAAGAACCUGAAACCGUGUACGUACAAGCAGUGGGAGCACAGAGCAAUCUGUGUGACUGCGUACCUUUUGUAUAAUGGGUCAGCGACUUAUAUUCUGUAGCAAGGUUAACCGAAUAGGGGAGCCGAAGGGAAACCGAGUCUUAACUGGGCGUUAAGUUGCAGGGUAUAGACCCGAAACCCGGUGAUCUAGCCAUGGGCAGGUUGAAGGUUGGGUAACACUAACUGGAGGACCGAACCGACUAAUGUUGAAAAAUUAGCGGAUGACUUGUGGCUGGGGGUGAAAGGCCAAUCAAACCGGGAGAUAGCUGGUUCUCCCCGAAAGCUAUUUAGGUAGCGCCUCGUGAAUUCAUCUCCGGGGGUAGAGCACUGUUUCGGCAAGGGGGUCAUCCCGACUUACCAACCCGAUGCAAACUGCGAAUACCGGAGAAUGUUAUCACGGGAGACACACGGCGGGUGCUAACGUCCGUCGUGAAGAGGGAAACAACCCAGACCGCCAGCUAAGGUCCCAAAGUCAUGGUUAAGUGGGAAACGAUGUGGGAAGGCCCAGACAGCCAGGAUGUUGGCUUAGAAGCAGCCAUCAUUUAAAGAAAGCGUAAUAGCUCACUGGUCGAGUCGGCCUGCGCGGAAGAUGUAACGGGGCUAAACCAUGCACCGAAGCUGCGGCAGCGACACUAUGUGUUGUUGGGUAGGGGAGCGUUCUGUAAGCCUGCGAAGGUGUGCUGUGAGGCAUGCUGGAGGUAUCAGAAGUGCGAAUGCUGACAUAAGUAACGAUAAAGCGGGUGAAAAGCCCGCUCGCCGGAAGACCAAGGGUUCCUGUCCAACGUUAAUCGGGGCAGGGUGAGUCGACCCCUAAGGCGAGGCCGAAAGGCGUAGUCGAUGGGAAACAGGUUAAUAUUCCUGUACUUGGUGUUACUGCGAAGGGGGGACGGAGAAGGCUAUGUUGGCCGGGCGACGGUUGUCCCGGUUUAAGCGUGUAGGCUGGUUUUCCAGGCAAAUCCGGAAAAUCAAGGCUGAGGCGUGAUGACGAGGCACUACGGUGCUGAAGCAACAAAUGCCCUGCUUCCAGGAAAAGCCUCUAAGCAUCAGGUAACAUCAAAUCGUACCCCAAACCGACACAGGUGGUCAGGUAGAGAAUACCAAGGCGCUUGAGAGAACUCGGGUGAAGGAACUAGGCAAAAUGGUGCCGUAACUUCGGGAGAAGGCACGCUGAUAUGUAGGUGAAGUCCCUCGCGGAUGGAGCUGAAAUCAGUCGAAGAUACCAGCUGGCUGCAACUGUUUAUUAAAAACACAGCACUGUGCAAACACGAAAGUGGACGUAUACGGUGUGACGCCUGCCCGGUGCCGGAAGGUUAAUUGAUGGGGUUAGCGCAAGCGAAGCUCUUGAUCGAAGCCCCGGUAAACGGCGGCCGUAACUAUAACGGUCCUAAGGUAGCGAAAUUCCUUGUCGGGUAAGUUCCGACCUGCACGAAUGGCGUAAUGAUGGCCAGGCUGUCUCCACCCGAGACUCAGUGAAAUUGAACUCGCUGUGAAGAUGCAGUGUACCCGCGGCAAGACGGAAAGACCCCGUGAACCUUUACUAUAGCUUGACACUGAACAUUGAGCCUUGAUGUGUAGGAUAGGUGGGAGGCUUUGAAGUGUGGACGCCAGUCUGCAUGGAGCCGACCUUGAAAUACCACCCUUUAAUGUUUGAUGUUCUAACGUUGACCCGUAAUCCGGGUUGCGGACAGUGUCUGGUGGGUAGUUUGACUGGGGCGGUCUCCUCCUAAAGAGUAACGGAGGAGCACGAAGGUUGGCUAAUCCUGGUCGGACAUCAGGAGGUUAGUGCAAUGGCAUAAGCCAGCUUGACUGCGAGCGUGACGGCGCGAGCAGGUGCGAAAGCAGGUCAUAGUGAUCCGGUGGUUCUGAAUGGAAGGGCCAUCGCUCAACGGAUAAAAGGUACUCCGGGGAUAACAGGCUGAUACCGCCCAAGAGUUCAUAUCGACGGCGGUGUUUGGCACCUCGAUGUCGGCUCAUCACAUCCUGGGGCUGAAGUAGGUCCCAAGGGUAUGGCUGUUCGCCAUUUAAAGUGGUACGCGAGCUGGGUUUAGAACGUCGUGAGACAGUUCGGUCCCUAUCUGCCGUGGGCGCUGGAGAAUUGAGGGGGGCUGCUCCUAGUACGAGAGGACCGGAGUGGACGCAUCACUGGUGUUCGGGUUGUCAUGCCAAUGGCACUGCCCGGUAGCUAAAUGCGGAAGAGAUAAGUGCUGAAAGCAUCUAAGCACGAAACUUGCCCCGAGAUGAGUUCUCCCUGACUCCUUGAGAGUCCUGAAGGAACGUUGAAGACGACGACGUUGAUAGGCCGGGUGUGUAAGCGCAGCGAUGCGUUGAGCUAACCGGUACUAAUGAACCGUGAGGCUUAACCUUACAACGCCGAAG